CACAAAUGGCACCCUAUUCAAUCAGUGCAUUCCUUCUGACCAGAGCCCGAUAAGGGCACUAUAUAGGGAAUCGGGUGUAAUUUGGGAUGCAGGUUCUCUCUCCCUCUGACAGCUGGGUGGAACCGUAGCCUUCCAGGUGCUGUCCUUCACGGAUGGUGAGAAUGAUUCUGUGAGCAGCCUUCCGGUCUCUUCUUCCUCAGUUGAACCCAUACAAAUGUAAUCCUCCCAGCGGUCUGAGGCUCUGCAUCGCAGUUCUGAUGUUCCACUGGGAUGGGCGUUUGAUCCGUGACCGGGAGUGCCAUAGGGCGGAGUACAGUUGGCCCAGCGCCGUCCGUGGUAGGGGAGGGUUUGACCAGGGGGGGGGGAGUUUCCUUGGAUCAUCGGGCCGGGUACCUGGAAGCUGACUUCGGUCUUCGGGCGGACUGUGUUUCCUCCGAAACAUUGGUGUGGCUGGCUUCCAGGUUAAGUGAGCAGUGGGUUAAGAAGCAGCACGGCUUGGCGGGUCAUGUUUCCGAGGACCCACGGCUCGACCUUCGCCUCUCCUGAGUCCGUUGGGAAGUUGCAGCGACAAGACAAAGGUCAAAACUAGAAAUUGGGGAGAAAAAUAAGUAGAAUAUUCUAGGAUUCUAGUUCUAUGGUUGAACAUCUGAAGCUCUUUUGUUCUCUCAUAGGGGUGCAUCCCAAUAGACUAGAGUCUUUAGCUUCAUCUGCACCGAUAUGAAAUAUGUGGACUGGGUAUAGACAGUAAAACUUCCUGUAAGCAUCCUGUAUGUUACACCUGUCCUGUGUCUUUAGGGGCGGCAGGUAGCCUAGUGGUUAGAGGGGCGUCAGGUAGCCUAGUGGUUAGAGGGGCGGAAGGUAGCCUAGUGGUUAGAGGGGCGGCAGGUAGCCUAGUGGUUUAGAGGGGCGUCAGGUAGCCUAGUGGUUAGAGGGGCGGCAGGUAGCCUAGUGGUUAGAGGGGCGGCAGGUAGCCUAGUGGUUUAGAGGGGCGGAAGGUAGCCUAGUGGUUAGAGGGGCGGCAGGUAGCCUAGUGGUUUAGAGGGGCGUCAGGUAGCCUAGUGGUUAGAGGGGCGGAAGGUAGCCUAGUGGUUAGAGGGGCGGCAGGUAGCCUAGUGGUUUAGAGGGGCGUCAGGUAGCCUAGUGGUUAGAGGGGCGGCAGGUAGCCUAGUGGUUAGAGGGGCGGCAGGUAGCCUAGUGGUUUAGAGGGGCGGCAGGUAGCCUAGUGGUUUAGAGGGGCGUCAGGUAGCCUAGUGGUUAGAGGGGCGGCAGGUAGCCUAGUGGUUUAGAGGGGCGUCAGGUAGCCUAGUGGUUAGAGGGGCGGCAGGUAGCCUAGUGGUUAGAGGGGCGGCAGGUAGCCUAGUGGUUUAGAGGGGCGUCAGGUAGCCUAGUGGUUAGAGGGGCGGAAGGUAGCCUAGUGGUUAGAGGGGCGGAAGGUAGCCUAGUGGUUAGAGGGGCGUCAGGUAGCCUAGUGGUUAGAGGGGCGGAAGGUAGCCUAGUGGUUAGAGGGGCGGCAGGUAGCCUAGUGGUUUAGAGGGGCGUCAGGUAGCCUAGUGGUUAGAGGGGCGGAAGGUAGCCUAGUGGUUUAGAGGGGAGGCAUGUAGCCUAGUGGUUUAGAGGGGAGGCAUGUAGCCUAGUGGUUUAGAGGGGAGGCAUGUAGCCUAGUGGUUUAGAGGGGAGGCAUGUAGCCUAGUGGUUUAGAGGGGAGGCAGGUAGCCUAGUGGUUUAGAGGGGAGGCAUGUAGCCUAGUGGUUUAGAGGGGAGGCAUGUAGCCUAGUGGUUUAGAGGGGAGGCAGGUAGCCUAGUGGUUUAGAGGGGAGGCAGGUAGCCUAGUGGUUUAGAGGGGAGGCAUGUAGCCUAGUGGUUUAGAGGGGAGGCAGGUAACCUAGUUGUUAGAGCGUUGGACUAGUAACCGAAAGGUUGAUGGAUCGAAUCCCGGAGCUGACAAGGUAAAAAUCUGUCGUUCUGCCCCUGAACAAGGCAGUUAACCCACUGUUCCUAGGCCGUCAUUGAAAAUAUUUUCGAAUUUGUUCUUAAAACUGACCUACCUAGUUAAAUAAAGGUUAAUAAUAAUAAUAAUGCAGACCACAGAUGAAGGAGAGGAGAGCAAGUCAUUUUACACCACUUGAACUAGUUCUGAUUUGGAAAACAGAACAUCUGAACUGACAACUCCAGUCAGCUUUGAGACUACGCUGUAUCUAAACUGAUUACUACAUGUGAUGUCGGGAUUGACACUAGUUUGUACAACAUAUGAGUCCAAUAUCUCUGGCAAACUCGAGGUCAUUUAAAAAAUGAAUUGGUAUUAUAAUUUCUAUUUAUUUGUUGUUUAUGGUCUGGAUCAUCUUGAGUGGCUUCACAAAUGGAACACUAUUCCCUGUAUAGUGCACUACUUUUGACCAGGGCCCUAUGGAGUAACUAGUGCACUACUUUUGACCAGGGCCCUAUGGAGUAACUAGUGCACUACUUUUGACCAGAGCCCUAUGGAGUAACUAGUGCACUACUUUUGACCAGGGCCCUAUGGAGUAACUAGUGCACUACUUUUGACCAGGGCCCUAUGGAGUAACUAGUGCACUACUUUUGACCAGAGCCUUAUGGAGUAACUAGUGCACUACUUUUGACCAGAGCCCUAUGGAGUAACUAGUGCACUACUUUUGACCAGAGCCCUAUGGAGUAACUAGUGCACUACUUUUGACCAGAGCCCUAUGGAGUAACUAGUGCACUACUUUUGACCAGAGCCCUAUGGAGUAACUAGUGCACUACUUUUGACCAGGGCCCUAUGGAGUAACUAGUGCACUACUUUUGACCAGAGCCUUAUGGAGUAACUAGUGCACUACUUUUGACCAGAGCCCUAUGGAGUAACUAGUGCACUACUUUUGACCAGAGCCCUAUGGAGUAACUAGUGCACUACUUUUGACCAGGGCCCUAUGGAGUAACUAGUGCACUACUUUUGACCAGGGCCCUAUGGAGUAACUAGUGCACUACUUUUGACCAGAGCCCUAUGGAGUAACUAGUGCACUACUUUUGACCAGGGCCCUAUGGAGUAACUAGUGCACUACUUUUGACCAGAGCCCUAUGGAGUAACUAGUGCACUACUUUUGACCAGGGCCCUAUGGAGUAACUAGUGCACUACUUUUGACCAGAGCCCUAUGGAGUAACUAGUGCACUACUUUUGACCAGAGCCCUAUGGGGUAAGUCGUGCACUAUAUUAGGGAAUAGGGUGCCAUUUUGGGGAGUACCAAAUAACAAAAAUUGAAGUUUUUGUUGAGCAGCUAUGUACUCUUAGCUACACAAUGAAAUACUCCCUGCUGGGACAAUAAAGUUUGAAUUGAACUGGUCUCUUUAAUAUGGUUGUAAACACACUGUACACACACCAGGAACAGUAGACCUGACAUCCGGACCCCCUCAAUACACACCAGGAACAGUAGACCUCACAUCCUGACCCCCUCAAUACACACCAGGAACAGUAGACAUCACAUCCUGACCCCCUCAACAGGAGUAAUUUCACUGUAUGAUUCUGUCCCAAAUGGCCCAGGUGAAAAGUAGUGCACUUGUUACUCCAUAGGGUCUGGUCAAAAGUAGUGCACUAUAUAGGGGAAUAGGGUGCCAUUUUGGCCAGAGACUAUGAUUAGUUCCUUGUUGUUCAGAGAUGUAGCCUAGGCCUAGAUCUGUAAUCUACAGACUCUUUGUUAGGCUACUUCUCUAAUCACUCUCACAGGUGAGGUUUAAUCCAAAGUAUUCCGUCUCUGAAUCCACCGUUGAAUCAGAGUCCUCUUCCUGUGUGUCAUUUCCUUGUAGUGCUGAUGAUGCAUGUCCCGCUUCCUCUGUUUCUGUCUCUCCUAGCAGGGAACCCCUGUCUUUCUCUUCUUCUCUCUCUUCCUGUACUGUUGAUCCUCUAUCCUCCUCUCUUUCUGUCUCUUCUGACAGUGGACUCCACUCUUCCUCAUCUUCUUCACCCUCUUCCUCCAGUGGACCCCAGUCCAGCUCUAUUUCAAACUCAUCCUCCACUGGCCCCCCGUCCUCCUCUCUUCCGGUCUCCUCUGUCGGUUUAGCCGUAGGAGGAGGUCGUGGGCAGACUUCACCGCUGACACUAUGUUGGAAAAACAGCUCACAGUCCUCCCUCCAGCAUUUGAUGUUGAUGUUGUACCCAGCUGCCUUCAUCUCUUUCUGCUUAUUUAGGACAUUGCUAUGUGUGGUUGUUAUGCCCAUUUUAGAGAGUCUUUUGAAAAUGGGCUUAACCCCCCCUUGGGUCAGUGUUGUGUUGAUGACAUAGGCCAGUGCAGAAAGCCUGGGGUUUCUACCUCUCAGGACCACAGAGGCAGCCACACAGUUAUGGAUGGUGGAACCACCUGUUGCAGUAUUGAUGGUGGUAUAAAGCCAUGGUGUCUUCCUGGACAACUCAUUAUCCAACGCUUCGUAUGAAAAAUACUUCAUUUUCUCCAACGAGGUACUACUCAAAAUGCAAGGUUCAGCAGAGGUCAAGUAAUUUAAGGGUCUUGCAUAUGCCUUGACCUCUGCUUCUAUUUUCUGCGUCAUCUGCUUUCUGAUUUCUUGACACAUGGUCUCAUUCGUCAAGGCUAACCUGACAAAUGUCGCCAGUUUGCCUUUCGCCAGGUUUUCAACCAUUCCAGAAAAUUCUGAUGAAACCUUCUUGACCCUCUUUGGAUCCAAUUGGUUCGGGUAUGUUAUGACAACCUGCAAAAUAAUG
ensembl:lncRNA